AUGAGAAAGAAUUUUGGCUAUUAUCGCUGCAAUAGAUCAAUGGAGACCGUACCUGCAGUCUGUAGAGUUUGUGAUCAAAACGGCUCAGCGCAGCUUGGUGUAUCUGCAGGAACAGCAACUCAGCACACCGUGGCAACAGCGUGCAUUUACAAAGCUAUUGGGGCUCCAAUACAAGAUCAGCUACAAGAAGGGAAGCGAGAACAGCGCGGCAGACGCCCUUUCUCGCCUUCAGCAAACAGAACAAGUCUUGGGCAUCUCAAGUUGUCAGCCAUCCUGGCUUGA
rnacentral:rRNA from 1 species